UACCAGCACCCCGAGUGGUCGGGACGAUUAUUGGGCCUAAAGCAUCCGUAGCCGGUUCUACAAGUCUUCCGUUAAAUCCACCUGCUUAACAGAUGGGCUGCGGAGGAUACUAUAGGGCUAGGAGGCGGGAGAGGCAAGCGGUACUUAGUGGGUAGGGGUAAAAUCCGUUGAUCCAUUGAAGACCACCAGUGGCGAAGGCGGCUUGCCAGAACGCACUCGACGGUGAGGGAUGAAAGCUGGGGGAGCAAACCGG
rnacentral:rRNA from 1 species